rfam:Schistosoma margrebowiei strain Zambia genome assembly, scaffold: SMRZ_contig0000762
AGCUUUUUGCAUCCGUGCAGAGAUUUCGUCAAACACCAACCCAACAGAGCUCAUGAGACUUCCAAGGUGGUGAAGUU